GAUGAACGCUGGCGGCGUGCUUAACACAUGCAAGUCGAACGGUAAGGCCCUUCGGGGUACACGAGUGGCGAACGGGUGAGUAACACGUGGGUGAUCUGCCCUGCACUUCGGGAUAAGCCUGGGAAACUGGGUCUAAUACCGGAUAGGACUCCGGACUGCAUGGUCUGGGGUGGAAAGCUUUUGCGGUGUGGGAUGGGCCCGCGGCCUAUCAGCUGGUUGGUGGGGUGAUGGCCUACCAAGGCGACGACGGGGAGCCGGCCUGGGAGGGUGACCGGCCACACUGGGACUGAGAUACGGUCCAGACUCCUACGGGAGGCAGCAGUGGGGAAUAUUGCACAAUGGGCGCAAGCCUGAUGCAGCGACGCCGCGUGAGGGAUGACGGCCUUCGGGUUGUAAACCUCUUUCAGCAUCGACGAAGCGAAAGUGACGGUAGGUGCAGAAGAAGGACCGGCCAACUACGUGCCAGCAGCCGCAGUAA
rnacentral:rRNA from 1 species